UAGAGAAUACGUUUUUAAUUGACUAAGAAUGAUCUUGUUCUCCUGCCCCUGUGAUUCUAAGCUUAUAUUGUAUCGGCAUUGACCACAUCUCCAUAACUUUGGAGGCUGGCAGAGAAUACCCCACUGGACGAGAUCGCACCUCUGCACUCCAGCCUGGGCGACAGAGUGAGACUCCGUCUCAAAAAAAGAAAAAAAAGAACUGAUAAAUGAAAACUGCAAUUGGAUUCUCUUUCCACAAUUAAAUUUGCUAGCUUAGUAUCCUGGUUUUGCAACAUGGUGAUUAAUACAUUAAACCCAUUAAACCCUAAGUAACUCUUUACAUCUGUUUGCAUAUUUUUUUUAGAAGCGCACACAGAAUUAGUCUGAACCAAAGGUGUAAUUUAUUUGUCUGCAGUCUGAGUCACCGAGUUCCCUCAGGGUGUCUUUCAACUUGUUUUUUUUAAAUCUCUAUGGAGUAUUUUUUUUUUUCAAAACACAUGAUCUGUUUAGAAACAGGCUACCCAGCACAGAACCAAACCUGUUCUACUGUUUUCUAUUUUAGAAUUUGCUUACAUGACUUAAAAAAUUUUAAGGCUCUGUAUUUUACAUGUUUUCACAGCUCUGAAUUGAGAAAAGUAAUGCAAGCUUGUCUGACCCAUGGCCCACCGGCCACAUGCAGCCCAGAACAGCUUUGAAUGCAGUCCAACACAAACUCGUAAACUUUCUUAAAACACUACGAGAUGUUUUCGCAACUUUUUUUUUUUUUUAGUUCAUCAACUAUCAUUAGUGUUAGUGUAUUUUGUGUGUGGCCCAAGAUAAUUCUCCUUGUUCCAGUGUGACCCAGGGAAGCCAAAAGGUUGGACAUCCUUGAAGUAAUGAAAGUUGAUACCAUGGCUGCUUUAUGGCAGAAGUCAGAAAUUGCCUCCCUCCAUUGAUGUGCUCGUUAGUAUUGGAAAGGCAAAUCAAGAAGUUAGGAGAGGCUGCCUUCACACAGCCUUUCAAAUAUAUGAAGUGUUAUGGAAUUACAGCGUUAGAUAAUAUUUUACCUGAAGUUCCAAAAGAGUUUUCUUCCUAUUUA
rnacentral:lncRNA from 1 species